UACGGGGGGGGGCAAGCGUUGUUCGGAAUUACUGGGCGUAAAGGGCUCGUAGGCGGCCAACUAAGUCGGAUGUGAAAUCCCCAGGUUUAACCUGGGAACUGCAUCCGAUACUGGAUGGCUUGAAUUCGGGAGAGGGAUGCAGAAUUCCAGGUGUAGCGGUGAAAUGCGUAGAUAUCUGGAGGAAUACCGGUGGCGAAGGCGGCAUCCUGGACCGAGAUUGACGCUGAUGAGCGAAAGCUAGGGGAGCAAACGGG
rnacentral:rRNA from 1 species